rnacentral:tRNA from 1 species
GGGGAUUUAGCUCAGCGGUAGAGCGCUUGCCUAGGAAGCGCAAGGCCCUGGGUUCGUUCCCCAGCUCCG